rnacentral:rRNA from 1 species
UGGGGAAUAUUGCGCAAUGGGGGAAACCCUGACGCAGCAACGCCGCGUGAAGGAAGAAGGUCUUCGGAUUGUAAACUUUUGUCUUGUGGGAAGAUGAUGACGGUACCACAGGAGGAAGCCACGGCUAACUACGUGCCAGCAGCCGCGGUAAUACGUAGGUGGCAAGCGUUGUCCGGAAUUACUGGGUGUAAAGGGUGCGUAGGCGGUUUUUCAAGUCAGGUGUGAAAACUAUGGGCUUAACCCAUAGCCUGCAUUUGAAACUGAAAGACUUGAGUGAUGGAGAGGUAAGUGGAAUUCCUAGUGUAGCGGUGAAAUGCGUAGAUAUUAGGAGGAACACCAGUGGCGAAGGCGACUUACUGGACAUUAACUGACGCUGAGGCACGAAAGCAUGGGGAGCAAACA